UACGGAGGGAGCUAGCGUUGUUCGGAUAUACUGGGCGUAAAGCGCACGUAGGCGGCGCAGCAAGUCAGGGGUGAAAUCCCGGAGCUCAACUCCGGAACUGCCCUUGAAACUGCAGUGCUAGAAUUCUGGAGAGGCGAGUGGAAUUCCGAGUGUAGAGGUGAAAUGCGUAGAGAUUGGGAAGAACACCCGUGGCGAAAGCGCUCUGCUGGACUGCAACUGACAUUGAGGGACGAAAGCUAGGGGAGCGAAUGGG
rnacentral:rRNA from 1 species